rnacentral:misc_RNA from 2 species
CAACCCUCAAGCUCUGCUUGGUAUUGGGCGUCACUGUCUCCGGUGCGCCUUAAAAUCAGUGGCGGUGCCAUUAGGCUUCAAGCGUAGUAAUUCUUCUCGCUCUGGAGUUCUGGUGUGUGCUUGCCAACAACCCCCUAAUUUUAUCAA